GCAUUGGUGGUUCAGUGUUAGAAUUCUUGCUUCUGAUACGGGAGACCCAGGUCCGAUUCCUGGCCAAUGCA
rnacentral:tRNA from 1 species